rnacentral:rRNA from 1 species
UACGUAGGGCGCAAGCGUUAUCCGGAAUUAUUGGGCGUAAAGAGCUCGUAGGCGGUUUGUUGCGUCGGCUGUGAAAUCCCGAGGCUCAACCUCGGGUCUGCAGUCGAUACGAGCAAACUAGAGUGUUGCAGGGGAGACUGGAAUUCCUGGUGUAGCGGUGAAAUGCGCAGAUAUCAGGAGGAACACCGGUGGCGAAGGCGGGUCUCUGGGCAAACAACUGACGCUGGAGGAGCGAAAUGCGUGGGGAGCGAACAGG